rnacentral:ncRNA from 1 species
GGUUCAUCGAGAGUGGCGGAGGGACUGGCCCGAGGAUGCCACGGCAACCUCUCCGGAGAGGAGAACGGUGCCAAAUCCAGCGGACAUUCGGUCCGAGAGAUGAAGC